rnacentral:rRNA from 1 species
CACGUAGGGGACGAGCGUUGUCCGGAUUCAUUGGGCGUAAAGCGCGCGUAGGCGGCUCGGAAAGUCGGUCGUGAAAUGCCGGGGCUCAACCCCGGGACUGCGUCCGAUACUCCCGAGCUGGAGGCAGGUAGGGGAGAUCGGAAUUCCUGGUGUAGCGGUGAAAUGCGCAGAUAUCAGGAGGAACACCGGUGGCGAAGGCGGGUCUCUGGGCAGUAACUGACGCUGAGAAGCGAAAGCGUGGGGAGCGAACAGG